rnacentral:lncRNA from 1 species
UUUUCUUCCCUCUACUACGUCGUGGCCUCGCCUCCUCCUCGGUGGAAUCGCCACCGACUACCACCGCCAACGUCCUUCUCAUCUCCUCUCCCUCACAAACCUAUUAUUCCUCUCCUAAAAUCGUACCCAAAAAAUCUCCAUUUCCCUUUUCGAAUCUCGAUUUUCCGCCGGCAGACGGCCUGCGGGAGCCACCCCACUUCCUUCGACGAAAUCAACAUCUCCGCCCUCUCUAAUAUCCUCUCAGCUUGGAUUCGACAUGCGAGUCGAGAGGUAUUUAAUUUACAUAAUGGAUCUGAACUAGGGCUCGACAUCGGCGGCGAAACCGGAACCUUCACAGCUCAAAUAAAGCUACAUGCAUAAUGGGACCGUGGUGACCACCACAAUGAAUCUCAGCGCGCCGUACAAUGAGGCGGUAGCGGUCAGGGAGCUGGUACAAUGAAUCUUAUUAGUGGCUGCCCAUAUUUGAUAGGACCCUGGAUCUCGUGCGGAGAGAGAGAGAGA